AUUGAACGCUGGCGGCAUGCUUUACACAUGCAAGUCGAACGGUAACAGGUUAAGCUGACGAGUGGCGAACGGGUGAGUAAUGCAUCGGAACGUGCCCGAUCGUGGGGGAUAACGCAGCGAAAGCUGCGCUAAUACCGCAUACGAUCUGAGGAUGAAAGCGGGGGACCGUAAGGCCUCGCGCGAUCGGAGCGGCCGAUGUCAGAUUAGGUAGUUGGUGGGGUAAAGGCUCACCAAGCCGACGCUCUGUAGCUGGUCUGAGAGGACGACCAGCCACACUGGGACUGAGACACGGCGCAGACUCCUACGGGAGGCAGCAGUGGGGAAGUUUGGACAAUGGGCGCAAGCCUGAUUCAGCAAUGCCGCGUGCAGGAAGAAGGCCUUCGGGUUGUAAACUGCUUUUGUACGGAGCGAAAAGGCUCUCUCUAAUACAGGGGGCUCAUGACGGUACCGUAAGAAUAAGCACCGGCUAACUACGUGCCAGCCGCCGCGGUAAGAC
rnacentral:rRNA from 1 species